GCCGAAGUAGCUCAGUUGGUAGAGCGACCGCUUCGUAAGCGGUAGGUCACCGGUUCGACCCCGGUCUUCGGCUCCU
rnacentral:tRNA from 1 species